rnacentral:rRNA from 1 species
GACGAACGCUGGCGGCGUGCUUAACACAUGCAAGUCGAGCGACGCUCUUCCUUCGGGGAGAUGACGGAGCGGCGAACGGGUGAGUAACACGUGGGCAACCUGCCCCUAGCUCUGGGACAACACCGGGAAACCGGUGCUAAUACCGGAUACGACAUCGAGCGGCAUCUCUCGAUGUGGAAAGUUUUUUCGGCUAGGGAUGGGCCCGCGGCCUAUCAGCUUGUUGGUGGGGUAAUGGCCCACCAAGGCGACGACGGGUAGCCGGCCUGAGAGGGCGACCGGCCACACUGGGACUGAGACACGGCCCAGACUCCUACGGGAGGCAGCAGUGGGGAAUAUUGCGCAAUGGGCGAAAGCCUGACGCAGCGACGCCGCGUGAGGGAUGACGGCCUUCGGGCUGUAAACCUCUUUCAGCAGGGACGAAUUCAGACGGUACCUGCAGAAGAAGCACCGGCCAACUACGUG